GCUUAUUUUAACUAGCUGGCUGGCUAGCUAGAGUUAAUAGUGAAGACUUUGAGUAUUCAUGAAUAUGACUUAAAAAUCCUGUCAGGUUAGCUCAUAUUAGCUAGCUGGCUAGUGUUUAGCACUAACACAUUUGAGUAUUUAUGAAUAUGACUUAAAAAAUCCUGUCAGGUUAGCUCAUAUUAGCUAGCUGGCUAGUGUUUAGUACUACAGAUUUUGAGUUUUCAUGAAUAUGAUGUAAAAAAAAUCCUGUCAGGUUAGCUCAUAUUAGCUAGCUGGCUAGUGUUAACAGUGAAGAUUGUGAGUUUUUAUGAUGAUGAGAAAAAUGAUCAGGGAGCUCUCUG
ensembl:lncRNA